rnacentral:rRNA from 1 species
GGUGUGACUGCGUACCUUUUGUAUAAUGGGUCAGCGACUUAUAUUCUGUAGCAAGGUUAACCGUAUAGGGGAGCCGCAGGGAAACCGAGUCUUAACUGGGCGUUAAGUUGCAGGGUAUAGACCCGAAACCCGGUGAUCUAGCCAUGGGCAGGUUGAAGGUUGGGUAACACUAACUGGAGGACCGAACCGACUAAUGUUGAAAAAUUAGCGGAUGACUUGUGGCUGGGGGUGAAAGGCCAAUCAAACCGGGAGAUAGCUGGUUCUCCCCGAAAGCUAUUUAGGUAGCGCCUCGUGAACUCAUCUUCGGGGGUAGAGCACUGUUUCGGCUAGGGGGUCAUCCCGACUUACCAACCCGAUGCAAACUACGAAUACCGAAGAAUGUUAUCACGGGAGACACACGGCGGGUGCUAACGUCCGUCGUGAAGAGGGAAACAACCCAGACCGCCAGCUAAGGUCCCAAAGUCAUGGUUAAGUGGGAAACGAUGUGGGAAGGCACAGACAGCCAGGAUGUUGGCUUAGAAGCAGCCAUCAUUUAAAGAAAGCGUAAUAGCUCACUGGUCGAGUCGGCCUGCGCGGAAGAUGUAACGGGGCUAAACCAUGCACCGAAGCUGCGGCAGCGACACUAUGUGUUGUUGGGUAGGGGAGCGUUCUGUAAGCCUGCGAAGGUGACCUGUGAGGGUUGCUGGAGGUAUCAGAAGUGCGAAUGCUGACAUAAGUAACGAUAAAGCGGGUGAAAAGCCCGCUCGCCGGAAGACCAAGGGUUCCUGUCCAACGUUAAUCGGGGCAGGGUGAGUCGACCCCUAAGGCGAGGCCGAAAGGCGUAGUCGAUGGGAAACAGGUUAAUAUUCCUGUACUUGGUGUUACUGCGAAGGGGGGACGGAGAAGGCUAUGUUAGCCGGGCGACGGUUGUCCCGGUUUAAGCAUGUAGGCUGGUUAUCCAGGCAAAUCCGGAUAAUCAAGGCUGAGGUGUGAUGACGAGGCACUACGGUGCUGAAGUAACAAAUGCCCUGCUUCCAGGAAAAGCCUCUAAGCAUCAGGUAACAUCAAAUCGUACCCCAAACCGACACAGGUGGUCAGGUAGAGAAUACCAAGGCGCUUGAGAGAACUCGGGUGAAGGAACUAGGCAAAAUGGUGCCGUAACUUCGGGAGAAGGCACGCUGGUGUGUAGGUGAAGUCCCUGCGGAUGGAGCUGAGACCAGUCGAAGAUACCAGCUGGCUGCAACUGUUUAUUAAAAACACAGCACUGUGCAAACACGAAAGUGGACGUAUACGGUGUGACGCCUGCCCGGUGCCGGAAGGUUAAUUGAUGGGGUUAUCCGUAAGGAGAAGCUCUUGAUCGAAGCCCCGGUAAACGGCGGCCGUAACUAUAACGGUCCUAAGGUAGCGAAAUUCCUUGUCGGGUAAGUUCCGACCUGCACGAAUGGCGUAAUGAUGGCCAGGCUGUCUCCACCCGAGACUCAGUGAAAUUGAACUCGCUGUGAAGAUGCAGUGUACCCGCGGCAAGACGGAAAGACCCCGUGAACCUUUACUAUAGCUUGACACUGAACAUUGAGCCUUGAUGUGUAGGAUAGGUGGGAGGCUUUGAAGCGUGGACGCCAGUCUGCGUGGAGCCAACCUUGAAAUACCACCCUUUAAUGUUUGAUGUUCUAACGUUGGCCCCUUAUCGGGGUUGCGGACAGUGUCUGGUGGGUAGUUUGACUGGGGCGGUCUCCUCCCAAAGCGUAACGGAGGAGCACGAAGGUUAGCUAAUCCUGGUCGGACAUCAGGAGGUUAGUGCAAUGGCAUAAGCUAGCUUGACUGCGAGCGUGACGGCGCGAGCAGGUGCGAAAGCAGGUCAUAGUGAUCCGGUGGUUCUGAAUGGAAGGGCCAUCGCUCAACGGAUAAAAGGUACUCCGGGGAUAACAGGCUGAUACCGCCCAAGAGUUCAUAUCGACGGCGGUGUUUGGCACCUCGAUGUCGGCUCAUCACAUCCUGGGGCUGAAGUAGGUCCCAAGGGUAUGGCUGUUCGCCAUUUAAAGUGGUACGCGAGCUGGGUUUAGAACGUCGUGAGACAGUUCGGUCCCUAUCUGCCGUGGGCGCUGGAGAAUUGAGGGGGGCUGCUCCUAGUACGAGAGGACCGGAGUGGACGCAUCACUGGUGUUCGGGUUGUCAUGCCAAUGGCACUGCCCGGUAGCUAAAUGCGGAAGAGAUAAGUGCUGAAAGCAUCUAAGCACGAAACUUGCCCCGAGAUGAGUUCUCCCUGAGACUUUAAGUCUCCUGAAGGAACGUUGAAGACGACGACGUUGAUAGGCCGGGUGUGUAAGCGCAGCGAUGCGUUGAGCUAACCGGUACUAAUGAACCGUGAGGCUUAACCUU